UAAAAGCUAAAUAAAUUUAUACAUAUUGUAAUACAAAUAACCAAAGUAUAAAAUUUCAUUUACAGUGACAUGUGGGCCCACGAACGACCAAAAGUAUCAAAAGCGAUAAACCUACAGUUUUUGAGAAUGCAAGUCCAACUGUAGCCCUCAACAAAAUGAGCUAUCUACCGACUAUCUUGAGCCUGAAAUGGGUGGAAAGGAGGGUGGUGAGAUUAUAUAAUCCCAGUGAGUAAACAAAUACCAUCUAAAUAUCUAAAGCUGAGUAAAUGGAGACAGAUUAAAAUAGAUCAUCAUACUAUAAUUUAUCACCUUUCAACUUAUUUCAACCAAAUAAAAUUAAUUCAUAUAAAUCGAGUAAUCAACAUGGCUUAUGAAUUUCUUAAAACUUUGGCUCCUGCCAAAAUCAUUCUCAUACUCAAUUAUCAGAGAUACCUUGGCCUAAGGCUAUCCCAACCGAGUCCGCCAAGGCUGUUAAAUAAUUUCGUAUACACAUAAACAUAUUUUUAUUUUGAAAACAUAGUCGUUCCUUGGCGUUGGCUGAGUUCACCCUCACGUGGUGGUUUGGCGUGAAGUGAACUCUAAAAGUGUACCUAGAGAGUUACCUUACACGCCUCUCCGACUGAGGUAAGAAUAUAACAGGGUUACCAUGCCCCUCUAAUAGGCUGGUCCAUGGAACCCGCCCACUGUAGCAAGCUAAACUCACCAAUUCAAUAAAAUCUCAACCGCAUGACAUGGCAAUUACAUCACAAUCCAGCCUCUCAAGGCUAAAUACACAGUUCAUAUAUUUUCAACACAUUUACUAAUUCAGCCAUUCAUGCAAAUAUUGUCAUAAGCCAUUCGAUUCAAACCAUGAAUUUACAACACAUGAAAACAGUCUCCAAUUACUCUAUUUUCAAAACCAUCAUUCAAUCGCAAGACAAUUUUAUAAAAUCAUUUUCAUUUUAUCUCAUUUUGCUUAUAAAACAUAAAGAUUUACCAUUUAAACUCAUUUUCCAUAAAAUCACAAAAUCGGAUAAAAGCACUUUAGAUAAUUAAGACGAUAGUAAGGUUACUCACUAUUUCGGCAGUCGAAUUCUGAGUACUAUGAUUCUUGAUCCUCGGGUACUAUCUCUUUACUUUUGCCAGAAUGCUCACCACCUAGACAUAAUGCACAAUAAGCCAUUUACUACAUUUGUGCUAAAUUGUUAUAGAACCAAUUCAUGCUUUAUACUAAUGUAUGAAAUGGGAUGCAAAUUGUUCGGAUUAUCGUCUAAACAUGGUGCUCUACACAAAUUUAAUUGUGUACCUAAAUAAAACGGUAUUGGCCUAAUUCGAUCUAUCACUCGAUUAAUUGGCCAAUAUGUCCAAUUUAACUCCAAAUAAUUUCAUUUUUCUUUCAAUUCUCUAAAUCAUCAAACACAAAUUAAAUAACUUGAAAUAUGGCAAAAUCAUCCUCACAUUUUCUCUUGGAAAAUUCGGCCAUGGUGGGUGCAUCAACACUAUGAUUUUUCCUACUUGAUUUUCUCAUCGUAAUUCAUCAUUUCCUAACCAAUUCACUUGAAAUAAAAUCAAAUCCACCAUACACACUCUACAUGGAAAAUUCGGCCAAUGAUGGGUAAUGGGAGAAAAUGAAUUUUUCUUGCUUGAUUUUCAUGCUACACAUAACUAACUAACUAAAAACACUAAAAUAUCUUAAAAUCUAACCAAAUCAAGCAUCAAAACUCCUCCCCCCAUGUCCGGCCAGCAAGGGAUUCAUCAUGCAAACUUGAUUCUCAACCAUGGAAAAUGCAAAAUAAUGCAUAGGAAAUUUAGGUCACAAGCUAGAAUUGAAAAAUCUUACCUUUUGUCACUUGAUUCUUUGAAUUUUCACACUUUUGCCUUGAAUUUUUUCACCUAGGGUUUUUGUUCUUCUUUUCUUUCUUUGUUCUUCCUUUGGGCGGCCAUAAUGAAGAGAAAUAGGCUGAUUUUAUGCUAAUUUAUAAGGAAAAUAAUAAAUGGAUGAGAAUUUGACACAUGUCACCAUUUCAUUGGUCCAUGUGUCAUAGUUACCCAUUAAACAAUCUCUUUCCACCACUUAAAUUUUCUCAAUUAUCCAUGAUAAUAUUGGGUAAAAUUCAUGUGCUGGACAAGUGUUGGGUGGUGUAAAAUUACAAUUUUGCCCCUGAGGUGGCAAAAUGACUAUUUUGCCCUUUAUGCUCAAAAAAAUGUCAAAAUUAAAAUUUUUCACUUCUCAAAUUCAAAUUAUGUUCUAAACAGUCAAUCUUGAUCAAAAACUUCUUCCAACAUUCCAAUUUUUAUCCUCAGGUGGCAAAAUGACCAUUUUGCCCCUAGAUCAUGAAAAUUCCAAUUUGACUCCAAAUCGGUCUUUGAACUCCGAAUCACCAUUUUAAGUCUUUCUGGGAUUUUAAAAUUCUCAAUUUCAUCUUAAAAUCUUUAUUUGGUCUAGUUCAAGGCUUAAUUCAACUUAAUUGUACCAUUUGGUACAUUAACGACCUUUAACGAUUUUCGAGGUACCCAAGUAAGCAAAUAUGCAUUCUUAUGUAAGACUGGCAUAAUAAACAUAUUGUAGAGUUGGGCUUGACAGCACUACCCCCCUUAAAAUAAAAUUUUGACCUUAAAAUUUCAUUUACUGAACUCCGAGAAAAUGUGAGGGUAUUGUUUUCUCAUCCAAUGCUCGACUUCUUAUGUCCUCCCCUUUAUAGGGAAUUUCGAUUUGUUCACCUCAUUUACCUCCAAUUUAACUAGAGUACUUCACUUAUGUCUAUUAUUAUCCUUUAAAAUCAGAUCAACAGUAACCUUCACAAUUAUGAUCUCUUAUAUCAAGACACCAAGCAUGCUUUUAUUACUAUCAUUAAACUUGAACCAUAAUUCCAUCUCAAUCAUACCAAUUUCGAUCGCAUUUUAUACUUAUUUGUGUAUACCAAUCUCUAUCUUAUUACUUCAUUCCAUAUCAAACUUCUCGACUUUCAUUCAUUCAUUCCAUCUUCAUACAAUAUUGUGUAGUUUAUAGUAUCAUUAACAUGCCAUACUCAUUCUUAUACAUAUCCUCAACGUUAGGGAAGAUUAAUGGCUUCAAUUAUUUCCACAUACUUCAUGUUUACCUUGCAUUUAGGAAAUUUCAAUCUUCUUAAUCCUAUUAAUCCAUCUCAUAUGGCUUAAUCGCACUAUGGAUUACAUUCCCUUAACUAUUUCACCAAAAUUCCUUAGGUCGCCAUAAAUCGACUUUUGAUAAGAUUCUUGAUCGUUACAUUAUCUAUACAACUCAUCAAAUAUAUUGAGUUCAAAUCUCGAACCACUAAAACCAUUCUUCAUUUUAGUUGGGUACAUCACUAACUCCACACAUACGUAUACACGCACAUUCAAAUGUCCAUAUUCCUCAUUAUGUAUACGGGUCUCUAUUUUCAAAUGCCUUCAGACUAAUUUCUCUUUGUUCAUUCCCAUCCAUAACCAAGAUUCAAUAGAAUAAUCUUCAUAAUUCAUACAAAUUCUCAUCAUGCCUGUGCAUAGUUCCACAUCAUUUACAUACUUAUACUCUCUUCUUAUCAUUUCCAAUUAUAUGCUUAAGUUUCCUUGUACUAUAUAUCAUUGCAUCUUAUGCAAUACCACAAUUCCUAAGAGUCAUCCUUUUUCCUUGAUUAUCCUUCAUGCCUCAACAUUACUUUGUAUCCUUCUUGCAUUCUGACAUUGAUUUGUCACUUAAAACUCAAACUCAUUUGAAUCAUGUAUGCCUCAAGCAUUUUCGAAUUCCAAUUUCCAUAAUAUAUUAGGAAAGUUUCAUUAUCCGACUUUAUUAUCAAGGUCAACUUCAAUCAUCCUUUGUUCCACUCUUUCAUAUGAACAUAACAUCAUUCUCCCUUAGCCAAUUUAUAAAUUGUACUUGAAAUUACAAGACUUGAAACUAGAUUCUCCUCAAGUAAUUUUCAAUGUCGAUACAAAUAUCACUCUCAAUUUAUGGCUUCCUUUUUAUGAUCUCUUAACUUAGUGCUUGCUUUCACGAGAUCCAUGGAAGAAAUUCUUUUGAGUAUUUCCUUGGGGAUAUCUAUCUUAAACUUAUGUUUCACAACAGAUGAUCACUUAACUCGUGACUUAGCCGUUUGGCUCCUUAGCAAGUUUCAAAAUCACACAUCUUAUACUCAUCUCGUAUAAUUUAUAAUUCUUUCUCAAAGGUGUUUAAACAUUCUUGAAACACUUAAUCACUUAUUUACUCUUUCAUACUCCAAGUAUAUCAUUUCCAUAAAGGCGUGCCCAACUACUUAUGCUUCAAUUUAUCUCCUAGGGUUUCUAGCAUAUCACGUAGUUUACUUGUGUUGUCACUAAUCCUUUCCUUUCAACAAAGUCAAGUCAAGAUUUGUAAAUUCUCAUAACAAUAUUCUAUAUAAACUCAUUUGUUAUAUCAUUCUUGAAAUCUUUAUUCACACUUUCAUCACUUGGUAUUGACAUCUCUUAUCAAUAUCUCAUACAUUCAUCUAACCUUUCACUCACUUCCUCUUUAACCUUUUACAAGGCUUAAUCUCUUGUCUUCUUUAUUUCUUAAGAUUUGACUUCAGUCAACAUAUUGUUCAUCUUAACACUCCACAUGUUAAUUUAUUUUUAUGUAGCCAUCUCAAAAACUCUCUAACUUUUCUUUCUCUUACAUGCCAAUAUAUAAGGCAAUAAAGAAACUUUGGAAUUUCACUCAUUAUCUUUAUCGUAAUACCUCCCCAAUGCACUUAAGACUCCAAACAACAAAGCUUAGCAUCAAAACCAAUGACCAUUUUCCAACUCGUGAGUCCAAUCUUUAUGCCGCUCAUAGUUUGCUCGUGCUUUCUAGCCAUAAAGGGUUCUUAACUAAUUACAUUUAUAAAGUGGAUAAUUCACUUAAUUAUUACAUCUCGUCCUUGCAGUUAUAAGAUCAAGAUAUCUCGAAUUUAGGAUGCAGAAGUUCCCUCCUAGAACAUAUCAAAAAAUCCACAUAUUUCAAGUCCCACCUUAGGACAUCUUUCCCAUAUGGUGUAAUGAAUUCACAAUAUAUACAUCAUCCUACACAUAAUUACUUAUUAUUUAUGGUAUCCCACUAUUUUCAUUAUCCAUUUCUGAUCAUCUUCCUUGUCUUAUAACUCUAAUAGUUUAUUAACUUCCAGUACAAAGACCACAAAAAUAGGUCAUCUUUCACUACAUUUAUACUCACAAUCCUUAUUAAUCAAAAAUUUAUCCUUAUCAAGUUCCAUCAUUUAUCUUUAAUGGACCAUAUUUGUAUUAGAUUAUCUUUCUAUAAUGUUAUGGCAUCAUUUUAUACUUCCUUCACCCUCAAGCUUACAAUCUUUGACUUUAUCACAUUAAUCGCUCAAAAUGUCAUCUAGAGCCUCAUUGAUUUCUUCCAUAUCCUUUCAAAUUAUAACUACAAUUAAGAUUCCCAAUUUCACAUCUCCAUGAUUGAUUGUUAGUCUUACCACACUGUCUCCCAAUAUCCUGUGCAAUUACAAUACACUGAACCCACAUAUUAUAACAUAAUCUCCUAGUUCAAUGUGUUUGCUCGGGAAUCAUCUUCUCUGAUACAAUUUGUCCCAUAAACCAGAAUUUUAUUUAUUUAGCUUUGCAUUCGGAAUCAUAUAAAAAACUCACAUACUAUGAUAAGUAAUAAUUCCCAGCAAACAUCAUUAAUUCAAAUGACCUUUUAUACCUCGUCAAAAUCUAGGGUUAUCACCCCAAAAGUUCAUCACGUUAAUCGGUGUCCAUUUCUUAAUACUGCAAAAUAUAAUCAUUGCUAGAUAUGGUAAUUGCUUGAAUCAUUAAUGACUUUCCACAUCAGUCUUUAGUAAUUAUUUAAGAUGAUCAACCAUGCCACUAAGAUAAAUAUCUUUCCUUAAUAGUCAUAAUGCUAAUCCACUUCUGUCAUACCAAAAGAUUCCCAUAUACCUCUAGUCACUUAAACAGCUACUUUAUAAUACAUUCUAGUCACACACUUUAAAAGCCAAACUAUUAACUUCUUUGUACAAUAACUAUUAUCUCUUUUACUCUACAUCUACCUAGAGUUAAAGUAGUACAAAAUCCUACGAAAAUAUUACAUGUUAUUAGGAUCAUCAUCUUAAUCUGAUCUUAUCGGAAGAUUAUACUCCAAGUCCUUUUUAAGAUCCUCUUUCGGGUUCUCCUCCUCUUGAGAUUUUCUCCUUUGUUCCUCAAUCCAGGCUUGUUGUAUUCUCCUACAUUCCUCAUAACUCACCGAUGCAGCAUUUCUUUCACAACCGGGAGGAAAAUGUCGUACAACGUUCACUUUCCUACGAGGAUUAUUUGCAACAGUUACUUUCUCCUUAUUCUUUUCUUGUUGUUCCUUUACAUUCAUCCCACAGACUGGAGGAUAGUGUCAAACAACUAACACGCCCUUCCUAGGAUGAAUACCUCUUUUUGCAAUUGCCUUCCUCGCCCAAUCUCUAUGGUAUUCUUCAGGUUGUUUCAAAAGGAAAUCUUUUACAAUUUUCGGAGUGUUAGAGCUACUCUCACUUUCAAAAUUCUUGCUACUCUCGAAGCUUUCCUUAUUACGAAACCAUUCCAGAUUACCUAGAUUAGGGUGCCAUUGGCUCUUGGCAGUGGAAUCUAAUGAUCCCUUACUAGCGCUAUGAGGGGUAUCGGGACUAUCACCUCAUCUAGACAUGGUGUGUGCAACCAGCGCACCUCAAAACCUAUACGUAAUCAAGCAGUAAUUUCUUAAUUUUUUUACGCAUCACAAGAAUAGGUAGGUUUCUAUAUGUAGGUGCAUGCAUUCUACUCAACCUAACUUAACUUAACUUAGGGCCACACUAACAUUAUAAAUUUUUAAAUUAACUUUAAAACCAAAAGCUCUGUGUUUUGAUCUUUAAAACCAAAAGCUCUGAUACCACUCUAAUUGUCACGAUCCGGAACUCCCAUCAAGCUCGUGACAAUCGCCACGACGUCCUGAUAGACAUUCAUUACCCGAAAUGUCAAUCGAAACCUCGCAAGGCUUAACAUCAAUUUUUCUCACUUCCCCUGUGAGUAUUAGUUACUAAAAUCAUGUUUUGAGAGAUUAUAAACUAUUUCCAAAUCAAAACGAUAGAAAAAUAAUUUUUUUUCACAAGGGCAUUUUGGUCAUUUUUCCUCAAAAAUUUUGAACCCGACUAAAAAUGUAGUAUUUGAGUGAAAAACACAUAUUUCAUGUUCAGAAAUAAGUUUAGAUAUCUAAAACAUUCAUUUAAAGUGAAAUUAUAACUAUUUGAAUAAAAUAAAAAUAUUCAAUAAAAUAUUCUAUUUUUUUAUAAAAUAAUAUUUAUAGAGUUACCGGUAAAUAAUUUUUUAGCGUAAAAGCUAAAUAAAUUCAUACAUACUGUAAUACAUAUAAUCAAAGUAUAAAAUUUCAUUUACAGUGACACGUGGUGUCAAGCCCGACCUUAUAAAAUAUUAGCCAUGUCAUUCAUGUGAUUGACAGAAUGAUUGCAUACUUGAAAAGCCCAGAAAAAUCAUUAAAAGUCAGUAGUGUACUUAGUGGUGUAACUAGGUUGAAUUAAGCCUUGAACUAGCCCAAAUAGAGAUUUUAAGAUGAAAUUGAGAAUUUAAAAACCCCAGAAUGACGUAAAAUGGUGAUUCGGAGUUCGAUGACCGAUUUGGAGUCAAAUUGAAAUUUUCAUGAUCUAGGGGCAAAAUGGUCAUUUUACCACUGGACAUUAAGAUGUGAGUGUUGGAUGAAAUUUUUGAUUAAGAUUGACUAUGUAGAAUAUAAUUUGAGUUUGAGAAGUGAAAAACUUUAAUUUCGACAUUUUUUCGAGCAUAAGGGCAAAACAGUCAUUUUGCCACCCCAAUGGCAAAAUUGUAAUUUUACACUACCCAACGCUUGUCCAGCACAUGGAUUUUACCCAAUAUUAUCGUGGAUAAUUGAGAGAAUUUAAGCGGAGAUAGAUUGCUUAAUGGGUAAGUAUGACACAUGGACCAAUGGAAUGGUGACAUGUGUCAAAUUUUCAUCCAUUAAAUAUUUGGCUUAAAAAUCAGCACAUGAAUCAGUCCAUUUCUCUUCAUAUGGCCGGCCAAAGCAAGAACAAAGGAAGAAAAGAAAGAACCAAACCCCAGGUGGAAAAAUUCAAGGGAAAAGUGUGAAAAUUCAAAGAAUCAAGUGACAAAAGGUAAGAUUUUUCAAUUCUAGCUUGUGAUCUACCUUUCCUAUGCAUUCUUUUUCAUUUUUCAUGGAUGAGAAUCAAGUUUGCAUGAGGGUACCCUUGCUGGCCGGACUUGGGGGGAGGAGUUUUGAUGCUUGAUUUGGUUAGAUUUUAAAAUAUUUUAGUGUUUUUAGUUAGUUAGUGAUGUGUAGCAUGAAAAUCAAGCAAGAAAAAUUCAUUUUCUCCCAUUACCCAUCAUUGGCCAAAUUUUCCAUGUAGAGUGUGGAUGGUGGAUUUGAUUUUAUUUCAAGUGAAUUGGUUAGGAAAUGGUGAAUUACGGUGAGAAAAUCAAGUAGGAAAAAUCAUAGUGUUGAUGCACCCACCAUGGCCGAAAUUUCCAAGAGAAAAUGUGAAGAUGAUUUUGCUAAAUUUUAUGCUAUUUGACUUGUGUUUGAUGGUUUGGAGAAUUGGAAGAAAAAUGGAGUUAAUUGGAGUUGAAUUGGAAAUAUUGGCCAAUUAAUCGGGUGAUAGAUCGAAUUAGGCCAAUACCGUUUUAUUUGGGUACACAAUUUAAUUUGUGUAGAACACCGUGUUUAGACGAUAAUCCGAACAAUUUGCAUUCCAUUUCAUGCAUCCAUAUAGUUUUAUAACGGUUUAGCACCAAUGUGGUAAAUUGCUUGAUUGUGCAUUAUGUCUAGAUGGUGAAUCCUCUGAUAAGGGCAAAGAAAUUGUACCCGAGGAUCAAUAGUCAGAGUACUCUAAAAAUUUGACUCUUGAAAUAGUGAGUAACCUUAUCAUCAUUUUAAUUAUCUAAAGUGGUCUUUUUAUUCAAUUUUGUGAAUGUUAUGAAAAAUAAGUUAAAUGGUCAAUUUUUAGGUUUUAUAAACAAAAUGUGUUUAAAUGAAAUGAUUUUAUAAAUUAUCUUGAAAUUGAAUGAUGGCUUUGAAAAUAGAGUAAUUGGAGACCAUUUGAUGUAUUGUGAAUUUAUGGUUCUAAUUGAUUGGUUUAUGGUAAUAUUGGCAUGAAUGGCUGAAUUGGUAUUUGUGUUGAAAAUGUAUAAAUUGUUGUUUGCCUUUAUAGGCUGGAUAAUGAUAAAAUUGCCAUGUCAUGCUAUUGAAUUUUUAUUGUAUGGUGGGUUUAGCUUGCUGCAGUGGGCGGGUUCUAUGGACCAGCUUAUUAGAGGGGCACGGAAUUCUAUUAUAUAUGUACCUUGGUCGAAGAGGCGCGUAGGGUAUCUCCUGAGGUAUGGUAAGAGUUCACAUCAUGCUGAACCACCUCGUGAUGAUGAACUCCGUUAACGCCAAGGAACGACUGUGUUUUUCAAACUAAAAAUAUGUUUAUAUGUAUAUGACUUUUUAACAGCCUUGGCAGACUCGGUUAAAUGCCUCGACCAAGGUAUUCCCGAGAAUGAUUUUGGCAAAAGCCAAGCUUUUAAGAUACUCAUAAGCCAUGUUGAUUAUUUAAAUGAAAUGAAUAUUUAUGUUAUGAAAUACAUAUUGAGAUGGAAUAUUUUUAUCGUCUCCAUUUACUCGACUUUAGAUAUUUUGGAUGGUGUCUGUUUACUCACUGGGAUUAUAUAAUCUCACCACCCUCCUUUUCACCCAUUCCAGGCUCAGAAUAGGCUGUAGAUAGCUGAUUUCACUGAGGCUACCAUUGGAUUUGCAUCCUCUAAACUGUAGGUUUACAGUCUCUCUUACUUUUGGUUAUUCGGGGGCCCACUUGUUAUUGUAAAUUAAAUUAAAUACUCCGGCUUACUGUAUUACAAUAUGUAUGAAUUUAUUUUGUUUUUACGCUACAAAAAUUACUUACGUAUAACUUUAAAAAUAUUGUUUUAUAAGAAAUAGAAUAUUUUAUUAAAUAUCUUUAUUUUUAUUAUUAUAUUCGAAUAAUCAUAAUUUCAUUUUAAAUGAAGGUUUUAGACGUUUAAACUUAUUUUUGAUUAUGAAUUAUGUGUUUUGUAAUCGCAUACUACAUUUUUACCUGGUUUCAAAAUUUUCAAGAAAAAAUGACCAAAAUGCCCCUGUGAGACAGAAAUCAAUUUUUUUAUUAUUUUAAGUUGAAAAUAGCUUAAAAUCCUUUAGAACAUGAUAUUUGGCAACGGUUACUCACAGAGGAAAUGAGAAACUGAUAUUAAAGCUUUGUAGUGUUCUAGUUGGCAUUUUAGGUAAUGAGUGUCUAUCGGGACACCGCGACGGUUGUCAUGGGCUCGAUGGGAGUACCGGGUCGUGACAAUUAAAGUGGUAUAAGAGCUUUUGGUUUUAAAGUUGUUUUAAAAAUUUACAGUGUCAGUGUGGCCCCGGGUUAAGUUAGGUUAGGUCGAAUAGAAUACAUGCAUCUGCAUAUAGAGCUUGAGGUUGCCUAAACUUGCUUGUUUCCUCUUAUAGAUUAUCAUGCCUCCUCGACGCGAACACCCACCUCUCACUAGAUCAGCUGGGAGGGGAAGAGGUUGUUCCCAACAUCAUCAGCUAGAUGCAGUAGAGGAGGAAUCGACUGCAUCCACCAUUUGGGCAGCACUUGCUACUGAGCGGGCCGAGUUAUAAUUCUAUUUUAUAGAAUUAUUUUAUUCUAAUUUUAUUAUUAAAUAUUAGCUAUGUCCUCAAUUUUUAAUUAUAAUUUACUUAUUUUUAGUUAUUUUUAUAAUUAGGUUACUUUUAAGUUAGUUAUUUUAAUUUUAUGUUAUUCCUUUUAACUUGGUUAUGAUUUAUCAGUUUUUAUAUUUGUUUUGUAGGAUUAAAAGUGAUGGGCUUAAUUUUGAAAAGUAAGAUGUUAAAAGACCCAAGAUCUGCUUGCAUAUGCUUCAAUAUUUUGGCCAUAUCUCGAGCUACAGGACUCCAAAUGAUGUGAUUCUUAGAUCAGUGGAAAGAUAAGAGACAGAGCUACAACUUUCAUGAAGAUUACUUUGCUCAGUUAUGCUUCAAAGAUAGAGUAAAUCAUGUCGGAAAAUAGCUAGAUGUACUGUACUGGGAAUGAAAAUUUGUAAAGAUUGACAAUUGAAUUUUGGGCUUCUUAUUAUACUUUUAAGCCCAAUUAAACCCUAGGUCAGCUUAAGGAACUUUAGGUUAAGUUUAUUAGUAUAAAUAGGAUAUGUUUAGCAACAUUAAAAGAGACUUUUGAGAGAUUCAAGAAACUAGAAGUUGAGGCUGAAACUUGGAGAUCAAGACAGCAAAUAUUGUUUUGUUUUAUUCCUUAGCUUUUAUCGUUCUUGAUACUUUCAAUGGUUGAAUUUUAUACAAUGUUAUUUUAUUUUGCAAUUAUGAGUAGCUAAUUUUUUUUUCUAGGAUUGCAAUUGAACUCACAUGUAGUCUAAGUUUUUAAUCUCUUUCUUACUUAUUUUUAAUGGGAUUUGAAUUGUUUAUUCCAAUUUGUUCUUAAUGUUUUUAAUUGCUUGGCCACCAAUUAAAUUGAUCUAGGAACCUAAGCAAACUUGGGAAAAGGAGUUUAGAGUAAACUAAAAUUGGGAUAACAUAUGAUCAUAUUAAUUGAUUUGCAUAUAGGAUAGGGAUAUACCUAUAGGCCAUAUGUAGCCAGAUUAGAGCCUGCACUUAAUGAGUCUAUUUUAAUUUCAAUUCACAUAGGGAUAUAGUGUCUUGGUUAAAAUAGAUAUUUUUAUAAGAUGAGUCGGGAGACCCUUAUAAAUAAUUUAGGACUCUAGGUUAGCAAUUCAACCCAUUGAAAUAUGUUAAGGAAUAGAGGUAAGAUUUAGAUGAAGUGUGAGAGAUAUUGUAAUCCUAGGUUUAUUGAUUGGAUAUUUUCUCAAGUUAUUAUUUUGAUUUUUCUUGUUGGUUUUAAUUUUAGUUUUAAUUAAUUAUUUAAUUUUGAUUAUUUGGAUAAGAUUAAAUUGUUUUAAUUUUAGUACUUAGUAAAGUUUUAGAUAAAUUCCCUAUGGGAUUGAUACCUUGCUUGCUAAUAUACUAUCUAUUUGAUACGUAUACUUGCGUAGUAGGAUUUAACUGACACCGAGACUCCUCCACAUUCUCCACAUUCUCCAAAUUCUUCACAUCUUUCGCCACCUAUUGAUAUUCUUACCAUGUCUCCUGAGGCAGUCCAGGCAUUGGUAGCCUUCUUGACCACUAUUGCUGGCCAGGCUCAAGCUGGUCAGGCUCCUUCUAUAGUACCACCAAUUGCUCCUUCAGUACCACCACCCCCACUUCCUAUUCCACCACCAGUGCCAGAUGUCUCUAUUUCUAAGAAGCUUAAGGAGGCUAGGCAACUUGGUUGUGUUUCUUUUACUGGUGAGUUGGACGCAACCGUAGCCAAAGAUUGGAUUAAUCAAGUUUCGAAGACACUCUCUGAUAUGAGGUUGGAUGAUGACCUGAAGUUGAUGGUGGCCAUGAGAUUACUAGAGAAGAGAGCCCGAACAUGGUGGAAUUCAGUAAAAUCCUAUUCCAGUACUCCUUCGACCUGGUCAAACUUUCUAAGAGAAUUUGAUGGUCAGUAUUUUACCUAUUUUCAUCAAAAAAAAAAAGAGAGAAUUUUUGAGUUUGAAAUAGGAGAAUUUAAUUGUCGAGGAGUACGAAGCUCGUUUUAACGUGCUGAUGUUAUAUGUACCGGAUCUGGUGAAAUCUGAGUAGGAUCAGGCCAAUUAUUUUGAGGAAGGGCUCUGUAAUGAGAUUAGAGAACGGAUGACAGUGACUGGUAGGGAGCCACAUAAGGAGGUGGCACAGAUGGCUUUAAGGGCCGAAAAGCUUGCAAAUGAAAAUAGGAGAAUGCAAGCUGAGUUUGCAAAAAGGAGAAACCUGAGUGUAUCUUUCAGUCAGCCACCAAAAAUGGGCAAAGACUCAUCUGCUUCAAGGAGUACUACCUCUGUUUCAGUGACAUCUCCUCGACCUCCAUUUUCAUAGACAUAGUAGAGGCUUCCAAGAUUCAGCAGAUCUACGAUGACUACUUUUGAGAAGAGUUCUAGAGGUUCUGAUAGAUGCAGAAAGUGUGGGAAGAAUCAUUUUGGGCCGUGUAGGGGACUAGUACGAUGUUUUCAUUAUGGUCAACCAGGCCACAUUAGGAGUGAUUGCCCACAGCUAGGACGGGGCUACUGUAACAGCUCCAUCUCCACUAACUCAUACGGAUAUACAGAGGAGAGAUCCUUUUGGGUUACCACCGAGGCAGGGAGUGGCUAUAUAGUCUGGUGUAGAGAGAAAUACCUGGCAUAUCCACCUUUGAGACCACAGACUCGUACUUUGACAAGAGUUUUCGCUGUGACGAAAGAUGAGGCACGAGUCCGACCUGGAGUAGUGACAAGUACUAUGUUCUUAUUUGAUAAAGAUGCUUAUGUUUUGAUAGAUUCUGGCUCAGAUAGGUCUUAUGUGAGUAUGGCAUUUGCAUCAAUUAUUGAUAGAAACCUAUCACCAUUAAAGGAAGAAAUUGUAGUUCACACCCCUUUAGGAGAAAAGUUAGUUAGAAAUAGUUGUUAUAGAGAUUGUGGAGUAAUGGUUGGUAAGGAAGAAUUUAGGGGUGACUUGAUUUCUCUAGAGAUCCAAGAUUUCAAUUUGAUAUUGGGUAUGGACUGGUUAACUGCACAUCGAGCGAAUGUGAAUUGUUUCAGGAAAGAAGUUAUUCUUCGAAAUUCAGAGGGAGCAGAGAUUGUAUUUGCAAGGGAACAUCGAGUAUUACCGUCAUAUGUAAACUCGACCAUCAAAGCUUUAAAACUGGUGCAGAAAGGGUAUCUGGCAUAUUUAGCACACGUGAUCGAUAUUUCAAAAGGGGAACCUAAAUUAGAGGAUGUCCCAAUAGUAAGUGAGUUUCCUGAUGUAGUUUUUGACGAAUUACCAAGACUACCUCCUGAGCGAGAGCUUGAGUUCCCUAUUGAAUUACUUUCGGGUACCGCACCUAUUUCUAUCCCUCCAUAUCGAAUGGCUCCGGCAGAGUUGAAGGAACUAAAAGUUAAGGUGCAAGAUUUGGUGGAUAAAGAUUUUAUUCGCCCUAGCACUUCUCCUUGGGGAGCACUAGUCCUAUUUAUAGAGAAGAAGGAUGGCACUCUUCGAUUGUGUAUCGAUUAUCGUCAACUGAACCGAGUGACCAUCAAGAAUAAAUACCCUCUACCCCGGAUCGAUGAUCUUUUGGAUCAAUUACGAGGUGCUAUGGUGUUUUCUAAGAUUGAUUUGAGGUCUGGGUAUUAUCAGUUGAAGAUUAAAGAGCAGGAUGUACCCAAGAUUGCUUUUAGGACACAUUAUGGGCAUUAUGAGUUUUUGAUGAUGCCGUUUGGUUUGACUAAUGCCCCGAUAGCUUUUAUGGAUCUUAUGAACAGGGUGUUCUAUCCAUACUUGGAUAAGUUCGUGAUAGUAUUCAUAGAUGACAUCCUGGUUUAUUAGAAGAAUAAUGAUGAACAUGCUGCCUAUUUGCGCAUUGUGUUGCAAACUUUGCGUGAAAAACAACUCCAUGCCAAAUUCUCUAAAUGUGAGUUCUAGUUAAAGGAAGUGGUUUUCUUGGGACAUGUGGUGUCUGGAGCUAGAAUUUAUGUCGAUCUCAAGAAGAUUGAGGCAAUCUUAUAAUGGGAGCAACCGAGAAUGGUAAUUGAGAUUCACAGUUUCCUUAGUUUAGCCGGUUAUUAUCGGAGAUUUGUUCAGGGAUUUUCAUUGAUAGCCAUUCUUUGGACUCGUUUGACUCGUAAAUGAGUUAGGUUUGAGUGGGAUGAUGUUUGUAAGAGUCGAUUUCAGGAGCUAAAGAACCUAUUAACCUCCGCUCUCGUUCUAACACUUUCGGUUGGUGGGAAUGAAUUUAUGGUAUACAGUGAUGCCUCUAAGUUGGGAUUAGGGUGUGUAUUGAUGCAGAAUGAGAAAGUAAUAGCUUAUGCUUCUCGGCAGUUGAAAAAGCAUGAAACGGAUUACCCUACCCAUGAUUUGGAGUUAGCAGCAAUAGUUUUCGCAUUAAAGAUUUGGAGGCAUUAUUUAUAUGGUGAGCAUUGUCGGAUUUUUACUAAUCAUAAAAGUUUGAAAUAUUUGCUCACUCAAAAAGAACUUAAUUUGAGACAAAGACGGUGGCUAGAGUUGAUCAAGGAUUAUGACUUAGUGAUUGAUUAUCACUCUGGAAAGGCAAAUGUUGUAGCGGAUGCCUUAAGUCGUAAAUCCUCAUCGUCGUUAGCAACGUUUCGGAGUUCUUAUUUUUCGAUGUUACUUGAGAUGAAAUCUCUAGGGAUCCAGUUGAAUAAUGGUGAGGAUGGAACCCUACUUUCUAGUUUCAUUGUGAGACCUUCAUUGUUGAAUCAGAUCAGAGAAUUACAAAAAUUUGAUGAUUGGUUGAAACAGGAAGUUCAAAAGCUGCAAGAUGGAGAAACUAGUGAGUUUAGACUCAGUGAUGAUGGUACUUUGAUGCUUAGAGACCAAAUUUAUGUUCCUAAAGAUGACCAGUUGAGACGAGCUAUUUUAGAGGAAGCUCAUUCUUCCAUCUACGCUUUGCAUCCCGGAAGCACCAAGAUGUAUCGGACUAUUAAAGAAAGUUAUUGGUGGCCGGGUAUGAAACGAGACAUAGCAGAGUUUGUAGCAAAAUGUCUCACAUGCCAACAGAUCAAGGCUGAGCAUAAAAAACCAUCAGGUACUCUUCAGCCUUUGCCGAUUCCUAAAUGGAAGUGGGAACACGUGACUAUGGACUUUGCAUUGGGUUUGCCGCGGACACAGAACGAGAAGGAUGCUAUUUGGGUGAUUAUAGAUAGAUUGACUAAGUCCGUUCAUUUCUUGGCUGUCCAUAGCACGUAUUCUAUUGAGAAAUUGGCGAAACUUUAUAUAGAUGAGAUUGUGAGAUUACACAGAGUUUUAAUUUCUAUUGUGUCAGGUCGAGACCCCCGAUUUUCUUCUCGAUUUUGGCCGAAAUUUCAGGAAGCUCUCGGAACUAAUUUGAGAUUUAGCACUGCUUUGCAUCUGUAGAUAGAUGGUCAAUCUGAGAGAACUAUUUAGACCUUGGAGGAUAUGUUACGGGCUUGUGUCAUUGACUUUAUUGGGAGUUAGGACAUACACUUGCCAUUGGUAGAGUUCGUGUAUAAUAACAGUUUUCAAUCUAGUAUUGGGAUGGCACCAUACGAGGCUCUGUAUGGAAGGAAGUGCUAAACUCCGCUCUGUUGGGAUGAAGUGGGUGAGAGGAAAUUGUUUAAUGUGGAAUUGAUUGAUUUGACUAAUGAUAAGAUUAAGAUUAUCCGAGAGCGAUUAAAGACAGCUCAAGAUAGGCAGAAGAGUUAUUCUGAUAAACGAAGGAAAGAUUUGGAGUUUGAAGUUGACGAUAAAGUUUUUCUUAAGGUUUCUCCUUGUAAAGGUAAUAAUUUAAAAAUUCUAAGUAUUAAAUCUUAUUUGAUUACACUAUUGUGAUCAUUUAUGGUAUUUAUUGGAUAAUGAAAGGUGUGAUUCAAUUCGUGAAGCGGGGAAAGCUCAAUCUGAGAUACAUUGGACCCUUUCGUAUCAUUGAAAGGAUCGAGCCAGUGGCUUACAAACUUGAAUUACCCCCGAAGUUAGAUCGAAUUCACAAUGUUUUCCACGUCUCGAUGUUGAAGAAGUAUGUACCUGAUCCCUCCGAUAUUCUAGAGACACCACCGAUUGAGUUGCAUGAAGAUUUAAAGAUCGAGGUGCAACCUGUACGUAUUUUAGAUCGAAAGGAUCGAGUGUUGAGGAACAAGAGCAUUCCAAUGGUGAAAGUAUUGUGGAAAAAUGCUCGAAUAGAGGAGAUGACGUUGGAAGUCGAGUACUAGAUGAGAAACCAAUAUCCACAUCUUUUUUUCAAAUUUGGUAAGUGAAAUUUUGAGGUUAAAAUUUUAUUUUAAUGGGGGUAGUGCUGUCAAGCUCGACCUUAUAAAAUAUUAGCCAUGUAAUUCAUGUGAUUGACAGAAUGCUUGCAUACUUGGAAAGCCCAAAAAAAUCAUCAAAAGAUAAUAGUGUACCUUGUGGUGCAACUAAGUUGAAUUAAGCCUCAAACUAGUCCAAAUAGAGAUUUUAGAUGAAAUUGAGAAUUUUAAAACCCCAUAAUGACUUAAAAUGGUGAUUCGGAGUUCGAGGACCGAUUUGGAGUCAAAUUGGAAUUUUCAUGAUCUAGGGGCAAAAUGGUCAUUUUGCCACCCAAGGUUAAGAUGUGAGUGUUGGAUGAAAUUUUUGAUUAAGAUUGACUAUUUAGAACAUAACUUGAGUUUGAGAAGUGAAAAAUUUUAAUUCUGACAUUUUUUUGAGCAUAAGGGCAAAACAAUCAUUUUGCCACCCCAAUGGCAAAAUUGUAAUUUUACACUACCCAACACUUGUCCAGCACAUGGAUUUAACCCAACAUUAUCAUGGAUAAUUGAGAAAAUUUAAGUGGUGGAGAUAGAUUGCUUAAUGGGUAAGUAUGACACAUGGACCAAUGGAAUGGUGACAUGUGUCAAAUUUUCAUCCAUUAAGUUUUUGGCUUAAAAAUCAGCACAUAAAUCAGCCCAUUUCUCUUCAUAUGGCCGGCAAAAGCAAGAACAAAGGAAGAAAAGAAAGAACCAAACCCUAGGUGAAAAAAUUCAAGGGAAAAGUGUGAAAAUUCAAAGAAUCAAGUGACAAAAGGUAAGAUUUUUCAAUUCUAGCUUGUGAUCUACCUUUCCUAUGCAUUCUUUUUCAUUUUCCAUGGAUGAGAAUCAAGUUUGCAUGAGGGUACCCUUGCUGGCCGGACAUGGGGGGAGGAGUUUUGAUGCUUGAUUUGGUUAGAUUUUAAGAUAUUUCAGUGUUUUUAGUUAGUUAGUGAUGUGUAGCAGGAAAAUCAAAUAAGAAAAACUCAUUUUCUCCCAUUACCCAUCAUUGGCCGAAUUUUCCAUGUAGAGUGUGGAUGGUGGAUUCGAUUUUAUUUCAAGUGAAUUGGUUAGGAAAUGAUGAAUUACGGUGAGAAAAUCAAGUAGGAAAAAUCAUAGUGUUGAUGCACCUACCAUGGUUGAAAUUUCCAAGAGAAAAUGUGAAGAUGAUUUUGCUAAAUUUUAUGCUAUUUGACUUGUGUUUGAUGGUUUGGAGAAUUGGAAGAAAAAUGGAGUUAAUUGCAGUUGAAUUGGACAUAUUGGCCAAUUAAUCGGAUGAUAGAUCGAAUUAGGCCAAUACCGUUUUAUUUGGGUACACAAUUUAAUUUGUGUAGAACACCGUGUUUAGACAAUAAUCCGAACAGUUUGCAUUCCAUUUCAUGCAUCCAUAUAGUUUUAUAAUGGUUUAGCACCAAUGUGGUAAUAAAUUGCUUGAUUGUGCAUUAUGUCUAGGUGGUGAAUCCUUUGAUAAGGGCAAAGAAAUUGUACCCGAUGAUCGAUAGUCGGAGUACUUUAAAAAUUCAACUCUCGAAAUAAUGAGUAACCUUAUCAUCAUUUUAAUUAUCUAAAGUGGUCUUUUUAUUCGAUUUUGUGAAUGUUAUGAAAAAUAAGUUAAAUGGUUAAUUUUUAGGUUUUAUAAACAAAAUGUGUUUAAAUGAAAUGAUUUUAUAAAUUAUCUUGAAAUUGAAUGAUGGCUUUGAAAAUAGAGUAAUUGGAGACCAUUUGAUGUAUUGUGAAUUUAUGGUUCUAAUUGAUUGGUUUAUGGUAAUAUUGGCAUGAAUGGCUGAAUUAGUAUUUGCGUUAAAAAUGUAUAAAUUGUUGUUUGCCUUGAUAAGCUGGAUAAUGAUAAAAUUGUCAUGUCAUGCUGUUGAAUUUUUAUUGUAUGGUGGGUUUAGCUUGCUGUAGUGGGCGGGUUCUGUGGACCAGCCUAUUAGAGGGGCAUAGAAUCCGGUUAUAUAUGUACCUCGGUCGGAGAGGCGCCUAGGGUAUCUCCUGAGGUAUGGUUAGAGUUCACAUCACGUUGAACCACCUCGUGAUGAUGAACUUUGCUAACGUCAAGGAACGACUGUGUUUUUCAAACUAAAAAUAUGUUUAUGUGUAUAUGACUUUUUAACAGCCUUGGUGGACUCGGUUAAAUGCCUCGACCAAGGUAUUCCCGAAAAUGAUUUUGGCAGGAGCCAAGCUUUUAAGAUACUCAGAAGCCAUGUUGAUUAUUUAAAUGAAAUGAAUAUUUAUGUUAUGAAAUACAUAUUGAGAUGGAAUAUUUUUAUCGUCUUCAUUUACUCGACUUUAGAUAUUUUGGAUGGUGUCUGUUUACUCGCUGGGAUUAUAUAAUCUCACCACCCUCCUUUUCACCCAUUUCAGGCUCAUAAUAGGCUGUAGAUAGCUGAUUUCACCGAGGCUACCAUUGGAUUUGCAUCCUCCAAACUGUAGGUUCACAGUCUCUCUUACUUUUGGUUAUUCGAGGGCCCACUUGUUAUUGUAAAUUAAAAUAAAUACUCUAGCUUACUGUAUUAUAGUAUGUAUGAGUUUAUUUUGCUUUUAUGAUACAAAAAUUACUUACGUAUAACUUUAAAAAUAUUAUUUUAUAAGAAAUAGAAUAUUUUAUUGAAUAUCUUUAUUUUUAUUAUUAUAUCCAAAUAAUCAUAAUUUCAUUUUAAAUGAAGGUUUUAGACGUUUAAACUUAUUUUUUAUUAUGAAUUAUGUGUUUUGUACUCACAUUCUACAUUUUUACCUGAUUCUGAAAUUUUUAGGGAAAAAUGACCAAAAUACCCCCGUGAGACAUAAAUCAAUUUUUUUUAUUGUUUUAAGUUGAAAAUAGCUUAAAAUCCUUUAGAACAUGAUAUUUGGCAACGGUUACUCACAGGGAAAAUGAGAAACUGAUAUUAAAGCCUUGCAGGAUUUCGGUUGGCAUUUCGGGUAAUAAGUGUCUAUCGGGACACCGCGGCGGUUGUCACGGGCUCGAGGGGAGUACCGGGUCUUGACACGUGGGCCCAUGAACGACCAAAGGUAUCAAAAGCGGUAAACCUACAGUUUUUGAGGAUGCAAGUCCAACUGUAGCCCUCAACAAAGUGAGCUAUCUACCGACUAUCUUGAGCCUGAAAUGGGUAGAAAUGAGGGUGGUGAGAUUAUAUAAUCCCAGUGAGUAAACAAAUACCAUCUAAAAUAUCUAAAGCUGAGUAAAUGGAGACAGAUUAAAAUAGAUCAUCAUAUUGUAAUUUAUCACCUUUCAACUCAUUUCAACCAAAUAAAAUCAAUUCAUAUUAAUCGAGUAAUCAACAUGGGUUAUGAAUUUCUUAAAACUUUGGCUCGUGCCAAAAUCAUUCUCAUACUCAGUUAUCAUGGAUACCUUGGCCUGGGGCUAUCCCAACCGAGUCCGCCAAGGCUGUUAAAUAAUUUUGUAUACACAUAAAAAUAUUUUUAUUUUGAAAACAUAGCCGUUCCUUGGCGUUGGCUGAGUUCACCCUCACGUGGUGGUUUGGCAUGAAGUGAACUUUAAAAGUGUACCUCAGGAGUUACCCUACACGCCUCUCCGACCAAGGUAAGAAUAUAACAGGGUUAUCGUGCCCCUCUAAUAAGCCGGUCCACGGAACUCGCCCACUGCAACAAGCUAAACCCACCAAUUCAAUAAAAUCUUAACCGCAUGACAUGGCAAUUAUAUCACAAUCCAGCCUCUCAAGGCUAAAUACACAAUUCAUAUAUUUUCAGCACAUUUACCAAUUUAGCCAUUCAUGCAAAUAUUGUCAUAAGCCAUUCGAUUCAAACCAUGAAUUUACAACACAUGAAAACAGUCUCCAAUUACUCUAUUUUCAAAACCAUCAUUCAAUCUCAAGACAAUUUUAUAAAAUUAUUUUCAUUUAAUCUCAUUUUGCUUAUAAAACAUAAAGAUUUACCAUUUAAACUCAUUUUUCAUAAAAUCACAAAAUCGGAUGAAACCACUUUAGAUAAUUAAAAGCUAGUAAGGUUACUCACUAUUUCGGGAGUCGAAUUCCGAGUACUUCGAUUCUUGAUCCUCGGGUACUAUCUCUUUACUUUUGCCAAAAUGCUCA
rnacentral:lncRNA from 1 species